rnacentral:misc_RNA from 1 species
AAGUCGUAACAAGGUUUCCGUAGGUGAACCUGCGGAAGGAUCAUUAAUCUUGUAACCCGCGUGGUUCGCACUCUCGGAUAAAUCAUAGCCCGGAAAGGUAGUGAUUCAGAGACCUCUGGCUACGUGCGAACAUUGGAACAGUUACAAUCGAGCGGUAGUUCUAUAGGCAAUGUUUCCCCAAGCAGUCAGUGUCGGAAAGUGUCAUUGAUUGUGCAAGGAUAGCGCUUCUACGAUUCCUGUAGACCGUACACUCGGGCAGGAGCUUUGCCAAAGGGUCCCCAUGCCCCCUAAUAACCCCACAGUUUAAUGUGAAGCUCAAUGUAAUACAUUGGGUAAAAAAACCGAACAACUGUUAACAAUGGAUAUCUUGGUUCUC